UAUCCUUUCCUAAGAGACAUGUGUCCCUGAGCAUGAGUUUGUCGUUCAUGCUCUGGUUGGGCCCUCAGCUCCUGUCCCCGCAGGUCUGGUGCCCAGCCCCGCACUUACUCUGACUGCACUGACUGGGGACUGACCACACAGAGGUCAGGUUCUCUGGUCACUGACAGCCCCCUCUCUCUAUCCCAGCACUUGGGGCUUCCUGGCUUUCCCAGCUGCCAGAGUCGCUUCCUCCUAAUGGCCCACGUCUCCAUCAGGGAGGGUUAGGGAUCAGCUGGCUGGCUGGUGUCCCCACCCUUUGUCCUAUAGCUACUUAAGGUGUCCCAUGACAUCCUCAGAUGGCUGAGCAGAAAAUGGGAGCCAUGCUGUCUGGGACCCAGGCCAUGACCUGGGGCCAGGGGUCACAGGCGACUCCAGAGGCAAGGUCUGCGGCUGCUGGGGCUCCAUGUGUUGUCACCUCCCCAGGUCAAAGGGAAAGGCCAGGGCUGCCAGGACUGCAGCUGGCGGUGAGCACUCCUUGGGCUUGGAGCCCUGCCCCAACUCUUGCAGGCCCUUCCCCAUCCUUGCUAGUCUGGCUAGCCCUGCCCUGGGCCAGGUGGCAGUGGAGUGAAAUCCCAGGCUUCCAUCUCCAGUAUUCUCCCUGAGGAGCUAACCCCAACCCAGGGUGCCCCUGAGCUGUGCCCUGCUGACUUCCCCAAACCAGCCCCUUUCUUACUACUCUCCUCUUCCCCCUCCCUCCUUCCUAUAUAUAUUAGUACUUAAUAGCAAGAGGUGGUGGGAGCUGCUAGGAUAGCCCAUGAACCCAGGAGCAGGUACCAAGGAGCCUUAGCAUGUGGAGGAAAUGGAUCUAGGCUGGAAGGGGACACACAGCUGUGUCCUGUUGUGGGAUUCUUCAUUCCUCAGGACUGGCUUGACCCCAUGACACUCCCCUGUGCUCAGCACUGAGUUGUGAGCUCUCAGGCUGCCGUCACCCAGAUGCCCUCCCACCGGGCUCCAUUUCUCCUCCUUCCAUCUCCCACAGCUCCUGCCCCAGUCCUAGCCAUAUCUUUACAGCAGUCACCAUGGCCCUCACACCACAUGCAGCACACGGCCCUGCUUUCCUCAGGGCAGAUGGCAGGCGAUUUCCCUCCACCCACACCCUGGAUGUGCAGGUCUGUCAUUGAAGGGCUGCAUGGCCCCGGGUUCCUCUCAUUACGGCGCCAGGUCCCAGACACUUACUUGUCCUGCAGCCAUCAGAGGGAAUUAAAAUGAACAGCCGCCCUGACGUGGGGAGCCGGCCCGAGACGCCCAUGGUUACCCACUCACAGCAGGAAACUUGCAAUCAAAUUCUAACAAAAGGUCACAUUUGCAAUAAGUAAAAAGGAAAUGUAGGUAAUUGGUUCUGGAGCCCGUUAAUACCUCUGCAGCCCUGAGAGGCAAUCUGAUGGACUUGAAACCUUUUUGUUCAGGGAGACUUUGAGCACAAGCAGUGUGGGAACACAGUGCUUCUCCAUGCGGACUCAGGACUCAACCUAAAACAACCAGUACAAGCACUCGGCGAAAUGAGGAGGCCCUGGGAUAGGCCUGGCAGUGCCCUGGUCCCAGAGGAGCUCUUCUCACAGGGAAAGUGGUCAAAUCCAGCUUCAAGUUUUUGAAGCCAAAUUCAUCUGAAUGUAAACCAGCUUGGUUUGGAGUCUCCCCUUAGGAGCCUGGGGUAGUAGCUCCAUCCUGAAGGUGGCUUUCUCAAAGAAACCGUUGGAUUUUCCUCUCCACGUGGGACUUCCUCUCGAUUCAUAAGAAGUAAUUUGGACAGUGACCUAAAUAAUUUCUGAGAUAAAGAAGGCAUGAUGGAAUCACCGUGGUAACUGCAGCUUGGCUCACAGAGGCAUCGAUCUCACAUUUGACACUUGCGUUGACUUUUAGGAAGGAUGGCACAGCAGUCCUACCUGUGCCACUGGCAGUGAUGACAAACCAUUUUUGAUGGGUGAUUUAUUUUUCAUGGCAAUGGUGUUCUCUAGUGUCUGAUUAGAGGAGCAGCUCAGUCUUCCUAUUUUCAAGUGGAAUGGAUUUUUGAGGAAGAUUUCAGCUCACCUGGGGGUUUGGAUCAGAAAAAUUCUGUGGCUUAUAAAGUCAUUUGUUCUUUUGCUGUGAUUGUAUUCACAGCAGAAGGGUGAGCGAAAGGUCAGCAAUAACUCUGCUGUUGCAUUUUAGCUAGAAAAAAAUGUAAUAUUGAUCCAUAAGAAAAUGGAGAAGCUCAAGUGUGAGGCCUUACUUGAUCUUCUGCGACCUUUCCCCCACCAUGUUGAUUUUACACUUAAAUGUUAUGUCUCCUGUUCAAAAGGUUUGUCCUGUUUAGUCUCCUAUUUAAUUAGUACAUCGUCGUCUUCACUCUCCCUAAUGUGGCAACAAGAUGUCUCUUGGUUCCUUGUUGGACCAUCGUCCUUGCUUUUUAUUUGCCCCUGUAACUGGCUUAUACAGAAUCCCACCAACGGCACCUGACAUCUCUGUCUUCUUGCAGAUCAUUGGAAUAAAUAGCAAUUUAAGACUA